UAAUUAUAUUUUAUAUGAUUUAUUUGUUUAUAAUAAAUGCAUGACGUUACCACACUAGUCCAACGUUAGUUGUGGUAUUUUUCUCCGAUUUCUCACUAGUUCAACGUUAGUGAAGACUUAUAGAAAUGGGUUAGUUCAAUGCUAGAUCUUUUAGGCCGUCCCGCGAUAGAAUCACAUUUUUUACGUGACAUUUAUCGUAUUUCAUGCAUGUUUUUCAUUUUUAAGAUCUUUUGUCAUCUUGUAUGAUAUUUUCUCUAUAUAUUAUCUCCCUUACCUCUAUGUGUAAGAAACAUGACAUUUAGAUUUGCAUUCCAUUUUGAAAAUUAGAAGUAAGUUAGUUCAUUUACUUGAUUAAGUUAAGGGAAUCACCCUUUAAAUAUGAAUGGACGAAUAUGGCUUCUUAGUCUUAGCACGCUCGUAUCCCCUCUAUAAAAAGGAAAAUCAAGUCAUGAAUCUUAAUUUCCCCGUAC
rnacentral:lncRNA from 1 species